UACGUAGGUGGCAAGCGUUGUCCGGAAUUAUUGGGCGUAAAGCGCGCGCAGGCGGUUCCUUAAGUCUGAUGUGAAAGCCCACGGCUCAACCGUGGAGGGUCAUUGGAAACUGGGGGACUUGAGUGCAGAAGAGGAGAGCGGAAUUCCACGGGGAGAGGGGAAAGGCGUAGAGAUGGGGAGGAAAAACAGUGGCGAAGGCGGCUCUCUGGUCUGUAACUUACGCUGAGGCGCGAAAGCGUGGGGAGCAAACAGG
rnacentral:rRNA from 1 species